rnacentral:snRNA from 1 species
AGCUUUGCGCAGUGGCAAUAUCGUAGCCAAUGAGGUUUAUCCGAGGCGCGAUUAUUGCUAAUUGAAAAAUGAAACCUGAAACAAACCC